GUAGGGAAUAUUGGACAAUGGGGGCAACCCUGAUCCAGCGACGCCGCGUGAGUGAUGAAGGCCUUCGGGUCGUAAAGCUCUGUUGCAGGGGAAGAACACAAUGACGGUACCCUGCUAGAAAGGAUCGGCUAACUUCGUGCCAGCAGCCGCGGUAAGACGAGGGAUCCUAGCGUUGUUCGGAAUUAUUGGGCGUAAAGCGGGUGCAGGUGGCUUGGUAAGUCAGAUGUGAAAGCCUGGGGCUUAACCCCAGAAGUGCAUUUGAUACUGCUGAGCUUGAGUGCUGGAGAGGCUAUUAGCAUUCCUGGUGUAGUGGUGAAAUACGUAGAUAUCAGGAGGAAUACCGGAGGCGAAGGCGGAUAGCUGGCCAGACACUGACACUCAGACCCGAAAGCGUGGGGAUCAAACAGGAUUAGAAACCCCUGUAGUCC
rnacentral:rRNA from 1 species